rnacentral:rRNA from 1 species
GAUGAACGCUGGCGGCGUGCUUAACACAUGCAAGUCGAACGAAGAUGCCGGAGUGCUUGCACUUUGGCAGACUGAGUGGCGGACGGGUGAGUAACGCGUGGGUAACCUGCCUUAAUACAGGGGGAUAACAGUUGGAAACGACUGCUAAUACCGCAUAAGCGCACAGCUUCGCAUGAAGCAGUGUGAAAAACUCCGGUGGUACAAGAUGGACCCGCGUCUGAUUAGCUGGUUGGUGAGGUAACGGCCCACCAAGGCGACGAUCAGUAGCCGGCCUGAGAGGGUGAACGGCCACAUUGGGACUGAGACACGGGCCCAAAACUCCUACGGGAGCAGCAGUGGGGAAUAUUGCACAAUGGGGGAAACCCUGAUGCAGCAACGCCGCGUGAGUGAAGAAGUAUUUCGGUAUGUAAAGCUCUAUCAGCAGGAAAGAAAAUGACGGUAACCUGACUAAGAAGCCCCGGCUAACUACGUGCCAGCAGCCGCGGU